AUACUUGUGACAAUAGCGUUUGUAGCACGAAUCAAGUGCCAUUAGAUAGCAUGUUUGUGAUAGCUUCCCAUCAACAACCGGAUAUUCGCUUGCAAGGUUGGGCUUGUAGAAAUCAUAAACAUGGGUCAUGUGAGUCCCCCUGAAUUUACUUUCGAUAGAAACUGGGGCAUUAGGCCCAAUCAGCAUUGCAAUAGCAGCUGCACCCCCAGUAGGACGGGCUGGCCCCUCUGCAUAAACCGCACUGUCUGUACAGACAACAAGACCAUAGCGCCCAUCCCAUGAGCUACUCUCCACCCAAUUCACGCAGUUGAAUAAAGCGGCUGUCCCCCCAUAGCACGCAUUUGUCGAAUCAACUCCUUCAACAUCAGUAUUUCCAUAUCCAUCGAAAAUUUGCAUCAGAAAUGUCUUAAUAGACUUGCUCUUGUCUAUCACCGUCUCACUACCAACUUCCAGGCGACCAAUUUGUUCUGGAUUGAUCUGGUAUUUCUCAAGGAGGGAGGUAACAACAGUCAAGCUCAUCGAAAUCACAUCUUCAACCUCAGUGCAGAACGCCAUGCAGUCCUGCCCUAGCCCGAUAGUGUACUUCCCCUUGCUCGCCCCAUCGUGAUCCUCAAGCGCGCCCUGUUGGACGCAGGUGGGCGGGAAGUAGAUGUCCAUGGCGAGGAUGCCGACGUUCUUCGGAAGCGACUCCAUCUUGCAAACCCUAACCCUAACCCUAGAG
rnacentral:misc_RNA from 1 species